CUGAUUCCGAACGGGGGCCUACCCGGCUACCCGUCGGAGCCAAACUCCGAAUACCCGCAUGCAAGGCCCGGCAGCUAGGCUCUGGGGGACAAUCUCCAGGGCCGAGAGGGGAACAGCCCGGACCGCCCGCUAAGGCCCCCGAGUGACGCUCAGUGCGAAAGGAGGUCGAACCCCGCGGACAGCCGGGAUGUUGGCUUAGAAGCAGCCACCAUUUAAAAAGUGCGUAAUAGCUUACCGGUCGAGGGGUUCCGCGCCGAUAAUGAACGGGACUCAAGCGUCACGCCGAAGCGGCGGGUGUGGAGUGAUCCACGCGGUAGGAGAGCGUUGCACGUGCGGCGAAGGUGUACGGACGACGGGCACUGGAGCGCGUGCAAGUGACUAUGCCGGAACGAGUAGACGAUAAGACGGGUGAGAAUCCCGUCCGCCGUAAACCCAAGGUUUCCUGGGGAAGGCAAAUCCGCCCAGGGUCAGCCGGUGCCUAACCCGAGGCCGAGAGGCGUAGGGGACGGGGAGCAGGUUAAUACUCCUGCGCUCCCGCGCGGUUUAACCCGGUGGGGAAUGGGUGUAGGCUUAUCAGAUUGCCUCAGGGCGAUUAAGACCCCGAUAUCCCGGACCCCGCCGGCAAGAAGUGCCGCGCGGAAACCGUACCAAAACCGACACAGGUGGGUGGGAUGAGUAUUCCAAGGCGCUCGAGAGAACGCUCGUGAAGGAACUCUGCAAAUUGGCCCCGUAACUUCGGGAGAAGG
rnacentral:rRNA from 1 species